rnacentral:rRNA from 1 species
GAUGAACGCUAGCUACAGGCUUAACACAUGCAAGUCGAGGGGAAACGAUAUUGGAAGCUUGCUUCCGAUAGGCGUCGACCGGCGCACGGGUGAGUAACGCGUAUCCAACCUGCCCAUCACUUGGGGAUAACCUUGCGAAAGUAAGACUAAUACCCAAUGACGUCUCUAGAAGACAUCUGAAAGAGAUUAAAGAUUUAUCGGUGAUGGAUGGGGAUGCGUCUGAUUAGCUUGUUGGCGGGGUAACGGCCCACCAAGGCGACGAUCAGUAGGGGUUCUGAGAGGAAGGUCACCCACAUUGGAACUGAGACACGGUCCAAACUCCUACGGGAGGCAGCAGUGAGGAAUAUUGGUCAAUGGGCGAGAGCCUGAACCAGCCAAGUAGCGUGUAGGAUGACGGCCCUAUGGGUUGUAAACUGCUUUUAUAAGGGAAUAAAGUGAGCCACGUGUGGCUUUUUGCAUGUACCUUAUGAAUAAGGACCGGCUAAUUCCGUGCCAGCCGCCGCCGUAA